AGAGUUUGAUCCUGGCUCAGAGCGAACGCUGGCGGCAGGCCUAACACAUGCAAGUCGAACGAACUCUUCGGAGUUAGUGGCGGACGGGUGAGUAACACGUGGGAACGUGCCUUUAGGUUCGGAAUAGCUCCUGGAAACGGGUGGUAAUGCCGAAUGUGCCCUUCGGGGGAAAGAUUUAUCGCCUUUAGAGCGGCCCGCGUCUGAUUAGCUAGUUGGUGGGGUAAUGGCCCACCAAGGCUACGAUCAGUAGCUGGUCUGAGAGGAUGACCAGCCACAUUGGGACUGAGACACGGCCCAAACUCCUACGGGAGGCAGCAGUGGGGAAUCUUGCGCAAUGGGCGAAAGCCUGACGCAGCCAUGCCGCGUGUAUGAUGAAGGUCUUAGGGUUGUAAAAUACUUUCACCGGUGAAGAUAAUGACUGUAGCCGAAGAAGAAGCCCCGGCUAACUUCGUGCCAGCAGCCGCGGUAAUACGAAGGGGGCUAGCGUUGCUCGGAAUUACUGGGCGUAAAGGGAGCGUAGGCGGACAUUUAAGUCAGAGGUGAAAUCCCGGAGCUUAACUUCGGAACUGCCUUUGAUACUGGGUGUCUUGAGUGUGAGAGAGGUAUGUGGAACUCCGAGUGUAGAGGUGAAAUUCGUAGAUAUUCGGAAGAACACCAAUGGCGAAGGCGACAUACCGGCUCAUUACUGACGCUGAGGCUCGAAAGCGUGGGGAGCAAACAGGAUUAGAUACCCUGGUAGUCCAA
rnacentral:rRNA from 1 species